AGAGUUUGAUCCUGGCUCAGGAUGAACGCUAGCGGCAGGCCUAAUACAUGCAAGACGAACGGUAAUUUGAGUAGCAAUACUUAGACUAGAGUGUCGUAAGGGUGCGUAACACGUAUGCAAUCUGCCCGGAACUGGAGGAUAGCUCGGGGAAACUCGAAUUAACACUCCAUAAGACAGUAGGAUGGCAUCAUCCAGCUGUU
rnacentral:rRNA from 1 species